AAGUCGUAACAAGGUCUCCGUUGGUGAACCAGCGGAGGGAUCAUUACCGAGUUUACAACUCCCAAACCCCUGUGAACAUACCUUAAUGUUGCCUCGGCGGAUCAGCCCGCGCCCCGUAAAACGGGACGGCCCGCCAGAGGACCCAAACUCUAAUGUUUCUUAUUGUAACUUCUGAGUAAAACAAACAAAUAAAUCAAAACUUUCAACAACGGAUCUCUUGGUUCUGGCAUCGAUGAAGAACGCAGCAAAAUGCGAUAAGUAAUGUGAAUUGCAGAAUUCAGUGAAUCAUCGAAUCUUUGAACGCACAUUGCGCCCGCUGGUAUUCCGGCGGGCAUGCCUGUUCGAGCGUCAUUUCAACCCUCAAGCCCCCCGGGUUUGGUGUUGGGGAUCGGCUCUGCCCUUCUGGGCGGUGCCGCCCCCGAAAUACAUUGGCGGUCUCGCUGCAGCCUCCAUUGCGUAGUAGCUAACACCUCGCAACUGGAACGCGGCGCGGCCAUGCCGUAAAACCCCAACUUCUGAAUGUUGACCUCGGAUCAGGUAGGAAUACCCGCUGAACUUAA
rnacentral:rRNA from 1 species